CCGCGGCGAACUCACUCUUUCUGCGCGCCCUGCGGCCCUGAGGAGUGGGGUGGGGCCGCACCGCAGCGACCGCGCCCCGCCCGGGGGGAGGACAUGGCGCCUGGGGUGCCCAGCCCGCGUUUGCGGUAGCCCCGCUCCUCGGUGGGGCUCCUAUGAGGGCGAGGGGCGCCCCAGCCCCCUGGGCAGCGUCUGGCGUGUGCGCGGCGCCGCGGGUGCUCCGGUGGCGGGAACUGCCGGUAGCUGCGUGGCGUGUGAGCUGUUCCGUGCGUGCCUGGGCCUCCGGCAUGGGUGCGGCAGCUUGGGCCGCAGGCUCUAAUCCCGCUGCGCCGGGGCGGCCGUGCGGGCUCUCCGGCAGCAGCACACCGCGGGUUUGUUUCCCGGGGGCGUCAGGAGAGGCCGAACCACCCCACCUGGACUUGCUGCCGGCUUGAAGCAGCUUCUCGCUCCAAGCACACGCUCGUCUGAACAGUAGACUGCUAUGACAUCAGAUGAGCUUCUCCGCUGUCUUGAGCCUUGUGUAUACGUAUAUAGCCAACAGAAGACUCCAUCCACUUCUGGAAGUAUGCGCAUUUAAGAAGCUUGAAAACAGCAGCCUGAAAUGCGGAGUUCUGAUGCACCUGGAAAUGUUUUCAUGGCCCUUCUGGCUCCUCAGAAAUACUGCUUGGUUCAACAGUAAGCCAGAGGAGUAGCUGUUUAGUGAAACCAUGUGAAAUAAUCCUCAAAUGAAGCUCAGGUGAGAGUGUCACUCUAGAAAGGGAAGUGGCCUUGUGGACACUCUUAAAUAUUCAUACUAGUUCUAAGUGUACCAAAUAAAUUGAUCAAAAUUGAAUAAAUCAAGGAUUAAAACAUAGGAAAACUUACAUGUUAUCAUGUCUAAAUGAGAGUGUUUACAAUGUUAGUGGUGGCAGCUUUUCUGCUUAUCUUCAAGGCAGUGUGUGUAUGAAUAAAAUCUUGGAUUCCUGUUUUCA